CAACCAGAAGUGCUGAACGUACAGGAGUCAGCAGAGGCCAUAGUACUGGAGUAAGAGACGCCUGAAACAGGAAGGGC
rfam:Geobacillus sp. Y412MC61, complete genome.